GACGAACGCUGGCGGCGUGCUUAACACAUGCAAGUCGAACGGAAAGGCCCUGCUUUUGUGGGGUGCUCGAGUGGCGAACGGGUGAGUAACACGUGAGUAACCUGCCCUUGACUUUGGGAUAACUUCAGGAAACUGGGGCUAAUACCGGAUAGGAGCUCCUGCUGCAUGGUGGGGGUUGGAAAGUUUCGGCGGUUGGGGAUGGACUCGCGGCUUAUCAGCUUGUUGGUGGGGUAGUGGCUUACCAAGGCUUUGACGGGUAGCCGGCCUGAGAGGGUGACCGGCCACAUGGGGACUGAGAGACGCCCCAGACCCCGAGGGGAGGCAGCAGGGGGAAAUAUGGCACAGGGGGCGGAAGCCUUAUGCAGCAACGCCGGGUGGGGGAUGACGGCCUUCGGGUUGAAACCCCUUUCCGCCUGGGACGAAGGGGGAGUGAGGGUAAGGGGUAAAGAAGCACCGGCUAACUACGUC
rnacentral:rRNA from 1 species